UACGGAGGGUGCGAGCGUUAAUCGGAAUAACUGGGCGUAAAGGGUACGCAGGCGGGUUUUUAAGUGGGGUGUGAAAUCCCCGGGCUUAACCUGGGAAUAGCAUUUGAGACUGGGAGUCUAGAGUACUUUAGGGAGGGGUAGAAUUCCACGUGUAGCGGUGAAAUGCGUAGAGAUGUGGAGGAAUACCGAAGGCGAAGGCAGCCACUUGGGAAUGUACUGACGCUCAGGUGCGAAAGCGUGGGGAGCAAACAGG
rnacentral:rRNA from 1 species